rnacentral:misc_RNA from 1 species
CCAAACUUGGUCAUUUAGAGGAAGUAAAAGUCGUAACAAGGUUUCCGUAGGUGAACCUGCGGAAGGAUCAUUACUGAGUAAUUGGGUCUUUAUGGCUCAUAACUCCCACCCUUUGUAUACCUUACCAAAUUUUUAAGUUGCCUUGGUAGGAAUCACUACCCCCCCUAGGGGACGCGUAGGCCUACCAUUGGAACUAUUUUAAACUCUUAUCAAUUGAGUCGUCUGAGAAAUAAAUUCAAAUGAAUUAAAACUUUCAACAACGGAUCUCUUGGUUCUGGCAUCGAUGAAGAACGCAGC